AUGUCUCUGGUUUUUAAUCUAUGCACUUUUUUCUUUAUUCUUACCAGUAAUUUCAGGCCGACGUUAGAAUUUUAUGUGAAAACAAUAUGUAUCGUGUAUGCAUUUAACUUUUUUGAUAUGUUUAUUAAGUUCUAUAUAAUACGGCUUUUACAAUGCCUGUUUUCAAAAAUCAGGGCAUGGUUUGUCAUUACUAUUUUUUUUUUUUUUUUUUAAAGACCAAAGAAAUGAAAGAAAUUAAAAACUUUUCUAAGGAAAAAAAAGGAGAGUUUUCAUGCUGAUGCUUUUGCCAUGGUUUUCCAGUGCUUUCAUGCCUUUUAAAUUACAGAUCCCCAGGAGUUCUUACUCUAAUGAUUGAUAAUUGGGGUCUUGGGCUCAGAAACUGUCACUUCUUACCAGCAGUCCAGGUGAUUCCAACACACAUGGUCCUGACUCACACUUCUGUUUUAUGGGAAAAGUAAAAGCUGCCAGGAGUUAGAGAUAAGUUGGAUGGAAAGAGAACAGCCCCUGGUGAGGGGCCAUUUAUGGUAAAUAAAAGAGAUUUUUUCCUUGGUAAAAAAAAAAACUUAGGGAAAGGAUAUAAAAAUUGGUAAACUCUCCAAGAAGUAGUUAGCAAAUAGGAAAAAGCUAGUCUAUCAAGCCUGCGUAAACUGGAAGCCACCUUAACAAGAGAAUGGUGAAAAAGGACAUACUAGGAUAAUCAUAGUUUUUUGUAUUUUAGGUUUUUCAAAAACUUGUUAUCAGUAAUUAUCUUUUUAAAAAUCAUGUAUUUUUACCUUUUGACACCUGUUUCUUGUGCAGGGAGAGCUUAAGAAGUCUGAAACAUUAAAAGCAGAGUGAGUAGAAAUUACCCUUUUUGGUGCACAAUUCUCAAUCUUGGAGGCACAUAUAAGCUUGGAAACAAUUUGGAGCAUUCAUGGACUCCUUAAUCCAGUUCACUGGGUCUAUUGUAGUUUUUCCUAGAGUUUCAACAUGGUGUGGUUUAAGUCGUUUGGGAGAACAAUUUGAUCAUGGUUUUCAGAUCUAAAGCCCUUUUGGGAAAAAAAAAUAUAGAAAAGUGUACUGAAAAAAUUUAUAACUUAAUAGAGUAAGGAUAGGAAACAAAAGCCCUGGGAAUUACCUAGUUCAAAAACCCCACCCACAAACUCUCAACUCUCAACACUUCCUUUCCUAAUCCCAAUUCCAGUAUCUGCACUAAAAGAAACCACUAUUCUGACUACAUUAGUUCAUUCUCAUAGAGAAAUUCCCGAGACUGGAUAAUUUAUAAAGAAGAGAUUUAAUUGACUCACAGGUUUGCAUAGCUGAGGAGGCCUCAGAAAACUUACCAUCAUGUCAGAAGGCACCUCUUGCAGGGUGGCAGGAAAGAGAAUGAGU
rnacentral:lncRNA from 1 species